GAUGAACGCUGGCGGCGUGCCUAAUACAUGCAAGUCGAGCGAACAGACGAGGAGCUUGCUCCUCUGACGUUAGCGGCGGACGGGUGAGUAACACGUGGAUAACCUACCUAUAAGACUGGGAUAACUUCGGGAAACCGGAGCUAAUACCGGAUAAUAUAUUGAACCGCAUGGUUCAAUAGUGAAAGACGGUUUUGCUGUCACUUAUAGAUGGAUCCGCGCCGCAUUAGCUAGUUGGUGAGGUAACGGCUUACCAAGGCAACGAUGCGUAGCCGACCUGAGAGGGUGAUCGGCCACACUGGAACUGAGACACGGUCCAGACUCCUACGGGAGGCAGCAGGAGGGAAUCUGCCGCAAUGGGCGAAAGCCUGACGGAGCAACGCCGCGUGAGUGAUGAAGGUCUUCGGAUCGUAAAACUCUGUUAUUAGGGAAGAACAAAUGUGUAAGUAACUAUGCACGUCUUGACGGUACCUAAUCAGAAAGCCACGGCUAACUACGUG
rnacentral:rRNA from 1 species